CGAGGAAGUAGAAUCGUCUUUGGAGUUGCUUUUAUUUCUUGGAUCGGUAUUUUUGUUUGAUGGGAUGCGUUUGUUGCUUCGUAUACGUUUAUGGCGUUUCUUUGUAGACUUCGGUUGUUGUUCCCAGUUUGAGGAGGAUGUGCUGGGGCCUGGUCCAUCUGCUUCCGAACUGAAUAAUAGAAAAAUGAAAUUAAGCAUCGACAGCGAAAGUGGAUUGGGCUACAUCUUUUCUUACAUCAUCUAAUGAUGCGCUGGUGGACUCAUUGGCGAAGGUUUUUGGAAAAUGGUACGUUAGACACGUUCCGCAUAAAAGUUUCCGUAUGAUCUAAAGGAAAGAUCCAAGAGAUCUAAUUGAGCAAAUUAAAAAUCCAGUUGCAUCUCACUGUUGACUUUGUCAUUGAAUAUUUCGUCAUAUAAAGUAAAUAGAUUGUCAUUGAGUCUAUCAGAGAACUCUGUCAGCUCUUACAACUAAUUCUUCGUUGAAUUUUCUUUAGACAGUGGAAAAAAUGAUAUUUUAUCAAUUAAUGAUAGGAACCUUUUUCCCCAAGGUUUUUAUAAGGAAAACAUAACGUAGUGAAGUGUAAGUCUAUUUUACAUAUUUUACAUACAUACUUUACGUAUUUAUAUGUAAUAUCUAGUGCGAAAUGAUUAACGCAACAACUGUCAUAAUAUAAUACCAAUUAGAGGGACAAAGAGAAGAUAUGUAAAAUACAAAGAAUAAAAUGGACAAAGAACAGAUUAUA